rnacentral:rRNA from 1 species
UUAAAAAGCUCGUAGUUGGAUUUCUGGGUUUCUCGAACUUGUCCGCCGAAAGGUGAGCACGGGUUUGAGGGCUCAUCCUGCUGACAGUGGCCUUUGCUCUAUGAGCUGAGGAUCGCUUCAGCGCCUUUACUUUGAAAAAAUUAGAGUGUUCAAAGCAGGCUUACGCUUGAAUACAUUAGCAUGGAAUAAUGGAAUAGGACUCUGUCUUAUUUCGUUGGUUUUCAAGACUAGAGUAAUGAUUAAUAGGGACAGUUGGGGGCAUUAGUAUUUAAUUGUCAGAGGUGAAAUUCUUGGAUUUAUGAAAGACUAACUUCUGCGA